GUAGGGAAGGGCAAGGCUGGACCGUCAAAGAAGAGAUUGGUUGACAUUUGUCUUCUUGUUCUGCUACCACAUAGUGGUCAUCUGUUUUGACGCUGUAGAGUUCACAUUUUCUACAGUUUAACUGCACCCACAUAUGUCUGGUAAAGGCCUAUGUACUGUACUAGUCCGUAGUUCCAUGUUUGUGAUCUUAAACGUAUUUACGUUCUUCUUGUGCAGAAGCCUGGGAGUGUGGUGUCUAUUUCUGUCUGUGUGACCAGGGCAAGUGUGUUAUACAAAUGAUAUGCCCUUCAUGCUCUUUUCAAUAUAGUUGAACACGUGGCGUCACUUGCAUGAAGGGAUAGUAAACUCAUCAAUGGGAACAAGCUUUGAUCCUGUUCCCAUUACUGCAAAAUAACCACUGGGGUAUGUUCAGGAUCAGCGAAUGGUUUCAAACAGUUCAAAACCAGAAAAUAUGUUCAAUUGAGCAUAAGUUGAAAUAUAGCCCAUGUUUGUACAAUCACCUAUUCUCCUUUUCUAGUUAUCAGAAAAAUCCCUACGGGAAGGUUAUUAAAAAAAUUAUAUUUGCAGGUUGUUUUCUAACCUAUGCAUUAUCUUAACUUCUUAAACCCUUUGCACAGUCUUUCAUAGUGACACUUGAAGUUUCCCAAAUGGAGGACAGAAAUCCAAUAGAUUAUUCAUAGAUUUACCUGAAUUGUACUGAAACUAGAGUUUCCUUUGAGAAAUUAAAUUUAAAAAGCCCAUUUGGCUAUUAUUGCCACUGUAUCACUUUUAAUUGAUGCACUAUUUAUUAAUGCAUGGAUGUUUACUACUAUAGGAAGAAUUGAGUGUGGAUAUGACGGCUUGCCUUUCCACAACAGGAAGUGUAAAUACAUGGCUCUUGCCUUUAUAUGACUUGAUAUGCUAAUGAUAUUAAAAUAUGAUGUAUUGAAUGUUUUAUGUAUUCAAAUGUUUUCUGGUUUCAUAAAAUGUCGACACUGCUAUUGGUCACUAGAUAAUACAUAUCACUGUGAAAAUAUAUUCCAGUUUGGCAUCUUUAGAUGGUUACAUUACAGCACAAACCACUCUAUAAAGCAGGGUUAUCCUGCUUGAAGGCAACCAAUAAAACAAGCUCCUUGAUGGUGUUUGGUUGCAGAUGAUGUUAGGACCAUGGAUAUUGGCUUAAUUAAUUAAGUUAGCUAAGAGCCUGCCUAGAAUCAGGGUUUCCUUACCCACUUGUUUCCUGGACACAGAUUAAGCCUAAUCCUGGAUUGGGAAACAUGUUCAAUCGAUAUUCUCUUUUUAUUUCAGAACUAGGCUUCAUCUGUGUGUGGGAAACUAUCCCUCAAUCUCUUCCUCAGGUACAUAGGAAGACAUUCCUUCUCUUAUUCCAGGGUCACAGUCCCAUCUCUAUGAAUCAGACUGUUCAUUGUGAUUGUUUGUGAUGUUAUUUAUUCAUUAAACUGUUUUUUCGUUUAAGUAAA
rnacentral:lncRNA from 1 species